rnacentral:rRNA from 1 species
GGUAUUGAUUGGUGCUUGCAUCAUGAUUUACAUUUGAGUGAGUGGCGAACUGGUGAGUAACACGUGGGAAACCUGCCCAGAAGCGGGGGAUAACACCUGGAAACAGAUGCUAAUACCGCAUAACAACUUGGACCGCAUGGUCCGAGCUUGAAAGAUGGCUUCGGCUAUCACUUUUGGAUGGUCCCGCGGCGUAUUAGCUAGAUGGUGGGGUAACGGCUCACCAUGGCAAUGAUACGUAGCCGACCUGAGAGGGUAAUCGGCCACAUUGGGACUGAGACACGGCCCAAACUCCUACGGGAGGCAGCAGUAGGGAAUCUUCCACAAUGGACGAAAGUCUGAUGGAGCAACGCCGCGUGAGUGAAGAAGGGUUUCGGCUCGUAAAACUCUGUUGUUAAAGAAGAACAUAUCUGAGAGUAACUGUUCAGGUAUUGACGGUAUUUAACCAGAAAGCCACGGCUAACUACGUGCCAGCAGCCGCGGUAAUACGUAGGUGGCAAGCGUUGUCCGGAUUUAUUGGGCGUAAAGCGAGCGCAGGCGGUUUUUUAAGUCUGAUGUGAAAGCCUUCGGCUCAACCGAAGAAGUGCAUCGGAAACUGGGAAACUUGAGUGCAGAAGAGGACAGUGGAACUCCAUGUGUAGCGGUGAAAUGCGUAGAUAUAUGGAAGAACACCAGUGGCGAAGGCGGCUGUCUGGUCUGUAACUGACGCUGAGGCUCGAAAGUAUGGGUAGCAAACAGGAUUAGAUACCCUGGUAGUCCAUACCGUAAACGAUGAAUGCUAAGUGUUGGAGGGUUUCCGCCCUUCAGUGCUGCAGCUAACGCAUUAAGCAUUCCGCCUGGGGAGUACGGCCGCAAGGCUGAAACUCAAAGGAAUUGACGGGGGCCCGCACAAGCGGUGGAGCAUGUGGUUUAAUUCGAAGCUACGCGAAGAACCUUACCAGGUCUUGACAUACUAUGCAAAUCUAAGAGAUUAGACGUUCCCUUCGGGGACAUGGAUACAGGUGGUGCAUGGUUGUCGUCAGCUCGUGUCGUGAGAUGUUGGGUUAAGUCCCGCAACGAGCGCAACCCUUAUUAUCAGUUGCCAGCAUUAAGUUGGGCACUCUGGUGAGACUGCCGGUGACAAACCGGAGGAAGGUGGGGAUGACGUCAAAUCAUCAUGCCCCUUAUGACCUGGGCUACACACGUGCUACAAUGGAUGGUACAACGAGUUGCGAACUCGCGAGAGUAAGCUAAUCUCUUAAAGCCAUUCUCAGUUCGGAUUGUAGGCUGCAACUCGCCUACAUGAAGUCGGAAUCGCUAGUAAUCGCGGAUCAGCAUGCCGCGGUGAAUACGUUCCCGGGCCUUGUACACACCGCCCGUCACACCAUGAGAGUUUGUAACACCCAAAGUCGGUGGGGUAAC